UGAGGAAUCUUCCACAAUGGGGGAAACCCUGAUGGUGCAACGCCGCGUGGAGGAUGAAGGUCUUCGGAUUGUAAACUCCUGUCAUCUGGGAGUAAGACCUGACGGUGAAUAGCCGGCAGGGUUGAUAGUACCAGAAGAGGAAGGGACGGCUAACUUCGUGCCAGCAGCCGCGGUAAUACGAAGGUCCCAAGCGUUGUUCGGAAUCACUGGGCGUAAAGGGAGCGUAGGCGGCGUGGUAAGUCAGAUGUGAAAUCCCGGGGCUCAACCCCGGAACUGCAUCCGAUACUGCCAUGCUUGAGGGUUGGAGAGGUAGCUGGAAUUCUCGGUGUAGCAGUGAAAUGCGUGGAUAUCGAGGGGAACACUCGUGGCGAAGGCGAGCUACUGGACAACAUCUGACGCUGAGGCUCGAAGGCCAGGGGAGCAAAA
rnacentral:rRNA from 1 species